CGUUCCCAGGCCUUGUACACACCGCCCGUCACAUCAUGAAAGCCGGUUGUACCCGAAGUCGCCCCUCAAAAGGUGCCGAAGGUAUGGCUGGUGAUUGGGAGUG
rnacentral:rRNA from 1 species